rnacentral:rRNA from 1 species
CUACAUGAAGUCGGAAUUGCUAGUAAUCGCGGAUCAGCAUGCCGCGGUGAAUACGUUCCCGGGCCUUGUACACACCGCCCGUCACACCAUGAGAGCCGGUAACACCCGAAGUCAGUAGCCUAACCGCAAGGGGGCGCUGCCGAAGGUGGGAUUGGUAAUUGGGGUGAAGUCGUAACAAGGUAUC